rnacentral:rRNA from 1 species
AGCGAACGCUGGCGGCAGGCCUAACACAUGCAAGUCGAACGAACCUUUCGGGGUUAGUGGCGGACGGGUGAGUAACACGUGGGAACGUGCACUUAGGGUCGGAAUAACUCAGGGAAACUUAUGCUAAUACCGAAUGUGCCCUUCGGGGGAAAGAUUUAUCGCCGUUAGAGCGGCCCGCGUCUGAUUAGCUAGUUGGGUGAGGUAAUGGCUCACCAAGGCGACGAUCAGUAGCUGGUCUGAGAGGCUGGUCAGCCACAUUGGGACUGGGACACGGCCCAAACUCCUACGGGAGGCAGCAGUGGGGAAUCUUGCGCAAUGGGCGAAAGCCUGACGCAGCCAUGCCGCGUGAAUGAUGAAGGUCUUAGGAUUGUAAAAUUCUUUCAACGGGGACGAUAAUGACGGUACCCGGAGAAGAAGCCCCGGCUAACUUCGUG